CAGGGAAUCUUCGGCAAUGGACGAAAGUCUGACCGAGCAACGCCGCGUGAGUGAAGAAGGUUUUCGGAGCGUAAAACUCUGUUGUUAGAGAAGAACAAGGACGUUAGUAACUGAACGUCCCCUGACGGUAUCUAACCAGAAAGCCACGGCUAACUACGUGCCAGCAGCCGCGGUAAUACGUAGGUGGCAAGCGUUGUCCGGAUUUAUUGGGCGUAAAGCGAGCGCAGGCGGUUUCUUAAGUCUGGUGUGAAAGCCCCCGGCUCAACCGGGGAGGGUCAUUGGAAACUGGGAGACUUGAGUGCAGAGGAGGAGAGUGGAAUUCCAUGUGUAGCGGUGAAAUGCGUAGAUAUAUGGAGGAACACCAGUGGCGAAGGCGGCUCUCUGGUCUGUAACUGACGCUGAGGCUCGAAAGCGUGGGGAGCAAACAGG
rnacentral:rRNA from 1 species